AAAAAAAAAAAAAGCAGCCCGCCGCGUCAUAAACCCAGUGCUUCGUCAUCGGCUCGCUCAGUUCUUUCUUUCCCUCCGCUUCCGGAUUCUGCUUCCCACUGACCCAAUGCAGAACAAGAAGAGCUUUACUCUGUUACAAACAGUUGCGACCGCCGCCGUUUUUUCUGCUGUUUCCGGCUGGUAUGGAUUUAUGUUCGGAAGAGAGUCAGCUCGAAAGGAACUCAACGAUUUGAUUGAAGGCCUCCGACGCUCCAACUCCGAACAUCCCUCUUCUCCUCCUCCGGCGGAUUCCUAAUAUCCGGUGUUAAAAGACGGUAGUCUUACUCGAACUUGCGAGAAAGUCAUGGGUCGAAAUGUCCUUCUUGGAUUGGAGUAGAGUCCAUGCUGAAGUGCCAAUGUAUUCCAGCUACUUUUCCAGACAGUUUAGCUCCAGUACCUUGGAAUAUACCUUCUGCUGCAGCCAGGAUUCUGUCUCCAUGCUCCAGAAGCUUUGUUGAAUACCAUUCUAAGAAAAAGUGUCCAUAUUCACUAUUCCAUGUUCCAUCCCUUCUGAAAAACCCUGUGUCUUCGGGAAAUUGGUUAUAGUGGCCAGCAUCAUGAGGCCCUCCAUUGCCCCAAUCCUUCUUUCCAAUUGCCUCUGCUGAUGCUUCCAGUGAAGAUUUCAUGUACUGUUUUGGAAAUAAAUAUGUUUUCGU